GAGGGUAUAGCUCAGUGGUAGAGUGCAUGCUUCACAUGCAUGAAGCCCUGGGUUCAAUCCCCAGUACCUCCA
rnacentral:tRNA from 1 species